AUUGAACGCUGGCGGAAUGCUUUACACAUGCAAGUCGAACGGCAGCACGGGGCAACCUGGUGGCGAGUGGCGAACGGGUGAGUAAUACAUCGGAACGUGCCCAAUCGUGGGGGAUAACGUAGCGAAAGUUACGCUAAUACCGCAUACGAUCUACGGAUGAAAGCGGGGGAUCGCAAGACCUCGCGCGAAUGGAGCGGCCGAUGUCAGAUUAGGUAGUUGGUGGGGUAAAGGCUCACCAAGCCAACGAUCUGUAGCUGGUCUGAGAGGACGACCAGCCACACUGGAACUGAGACACGGUCCAGACUCCUACGGGAGGCAGCAGUGGGGAAUUUUGGACAAUGGGCGCAAGCCUGAUCCAGCCAUUCCGCGUGCAGGAUGAAGGCCUCGGGUUGUAACUGCUUUGUACGGUAACGAAACGGCGAGCUCUAAUACAGUUUGCUAAUUGACGGUACCGUAAGAAUAAG
rnacentral:rRNA from 1 species